rnacentral:rRNA from 1 species
GAUGAACGCUGACAGAAUGCUUAACACAUGCAAGUCGACUGGAAUUUGGGUUUUUAACUUAGGUUUGGGUGGCGGACGGGUGAGUAACGCGUAAAGAACUUGCCUCACAGCUAGGGACAACAUUUGGAAACGAAUGCUAAUACCUAAUAUUAUGAUAAUAGGGCAUCCUAUAAUUAUGAAAGCUAUAAGCGCUGUGAGAGAGCUUUGCGUCCCAUGAGCUAGUUGGAGAGGUAACGGCUCACCAAGGCGAUGAUGGGUAGCCGGCCUGAGAGUGUGAUCGGCCCCAAGGGCACUCAGGCACGGCCCGUACGCCUUCUGGCGGCAUCAGUGGGGACUUUUCGACAAUGGACCAAGAGUCUGAUCCAGCACUUCUGUGUGCACGAUGAAGUUUUUCGGAAUGUAAAGUGCUUUCAGUUGGGAAGAAAGAAAUGACGGUACCAACAGAAGAAGUGACGGCUAACUACGUG